rnacentral:lncRNA from 1 species
GUAUGCCUACUACGAGAUUUGAGAAAUGGAGUCUGGUUCUAGACUCGUCACUACCUCGCCAAGGUUAGGCCAGACACUUACCAGCACAUAGGGUCGGCUGUGUUGAUGCUACACUCUGCACGUAUGGGCAGAUAGUAGAGCAACAUUUGGGAAGCAACAUUAGUUCGGGAGCUAGCGUUCAGUCCAUCAAGACUCCGAGGUAGCCUUGCAGGCAUCCGUAGGCCAGGCGUCUCCUCUAUCUUAUGUUUCAUCUAUGAUCUCACGUAUUCGAGACGAACAAUGUUUUAUUUCUUUCAAACGAUUGUAUUUUGCACUCUUAAUAGUCCGUGGAUGUUGUGACACCAGGUGUUGGGCAGAGACUUGUAUUUGUU